rnacentral:rRNA from 1 species
UCUAGCAUGAAGUCAGACAAGUGAAA